rnacentral:pre_miRNA from 1 species
CCAUAUAGUCUAGCCCCCUUAUUCAUAAAAUAGUUAGUGGAGACUUAAGCUAUUGAACUGUUCUGUCACUCUUUGACAGAGAACAAUUUGUUCUUUGACAGAGAGGGACAAAACAGUUGAAUAGCUAAAGCGUCCAUUAACUUUUUUAUGAAUAAGGGGGUUAGUCUAUACAU